UAGGAAAUUACGACGUUUUUUUUCUGACGUUUUUUGAAAAACGUCGUGAAAUCUCUUAUAAUUUUUACUUUUUGAGCAAAUUUAAUUAUCCCAUCUUGUUUUGUGUGCCGUUAUUACAAAAUUGUGAAAUAACAUUUAUUUGUGAGGGAAGAGGCAAGACUUCUCUGAUCAAAGCAGAGGCGUGACUUCAGAGAACAGAGCGUGACUUUUGAGAGAGAGAGAGAGAGAGAGGCAGAGAGAGAAAUCAAGGCCUUGGAUCUUCCAUCUCCAUCGAUUCUUUGGUUGUAUGAUCUGGAAACUCUUGUUCUACACUUGAUUUGAAUGUUUGUCUGUAAUAUCGUUUGAAUCCCUCUUAUCUAAGUCGAUCUAGGGCUCAAGGUUUUGAGUGCCAUGUUAAUGUAUCUAAUCAUGUACAAGAUAAGCAAGCAGUGUUGGAUCUGGAUCGUUAGCAACAGUGAGUAGAAGCAAGCACAACGACGUAGAGAUGUAGAUCUUAUUCUCAGAUCUGCUCUCUAUCCCAUCAGAUCUGCUCUCUCUGUCUCUCCGACCUGCUAUUAUGGUAAUAUCAAAUCUGCUUUCUCAAUCUCUCCGAUCGAAUUUCACGUAUUCUCUUCAUUGCUCUAUGAGAUUUGGACCUCUCUCCCUCUCUAUUUUUGAUUGAAUCUCAUUAUCUUUCUCACUCUAUCACAUUUUCCUUAUAGAAAAUGUCAAAACAGUUUCUAAAAUUGGUGCUGGUGACUAGUUCGUUGGUGCUCUCCUAUGCAUGUUGAUGAUGACCGAUUUGUAGUUGAGAUUAUUGAUGAAAAGUCUUCGAUUAAAAAGUAUCAAAGAGAAAUAUCAAGCCUCAAACUAGAACUGGAUCAGUCAUGAGGAGAUUAUUAGCUUAAGACAACAGG